rnacentral:lncRNA from 1 species
CAGAAAAACGAAAUGGUAAUCAGCUGUAGCGUGCUUGGCUGCAACGCCCAGCAGAAGGUUGACGGAUGUCUUUCCUUUCAUCGCUUUCCUCUGAAUGAUCAAAAAAGACUUGGGAAGUGGAUUUUGGGAACAGGGAGAGAACGAUGGAAUCCCAACAAAUACAGUUUCAUAUGCAGUCUACACUUUGGUGAGGAAUAUUUUAAGUAUUCAACGAAGGAGGGUGCCAAAAAGAGAGUAUUGUUAUCCAAGCACGCCAUCCCCAUGGUAACGAGCAAGUCAAAACAAGGCCAUACAAAAUCUACAGGCGUACAAGUUGAUGAGUCCGAACUUGGGGCACUUCCGCUGAAGCGCCGGAGACUGACCAAAGAUGACGACCACUCGUACGCUUCCUCGAGUUCCACGGAUAAAACAACCAAGACGAAGAUCAGAGCGCUGCAACAAAAAGUACGAAGGCUUGAAACGAGAAACAAAAGCAUGAAAGACAUGUUAAAAACAUUGAAGAAACAAAUCCCUCUUGACAGAUGAUGCUUAUGCUGAGCUUAAACAAAAUCAAUGAUUGUACUGGAAAGGUUCUAUUUUCGUGAUAUUUUGUUCUGACAUAAAUUUAUUCAUAACUUAGCUGGGCUGUGUCUAUUGAAAUAGUUGUUGGCCCGACCACUCUGCGUCUGUAACUCAACAAACGCCUUGAUCUCUAGUUGUUUUUGAGUCAGUAUCAAGAACCUAAGAAAUUAAUAUCAAACACACUAUUCCAGGAGAUACAAUGAGAAUAGACAUAAGUUAGGCAAAGUCAAAUAAAGUUAUGUUAGUUAGUAAAUUUAGGUUAGUUUGUAAGUUAAAUACAAAAUACUAUCGGUCUUAUAGUCUCCCGUCUCGUUGUUUGUCAAGUUGGCCAUGUCCGUUUGUGUAUCAUAUUGUCCGUGUAGCCUAUAUUGUCAGUUUCAUGGUUGUUCUCUGCAAGCCAUGAACAGACCCAUACUUUUAAACAAAACAAAAACCCACCAAAGCACUCCCGCCCUCAUUUAAGAUAACAACGUAUUGACCUCUAAAUAAUUGCUGAUGAGUUUAAUUGUUUCUCCAUAGAAAUGUAGGCCUUGGAUUAGCUCAGAAGAUCCCUGGAAUCAAUUCAGACCCGCUUGAUUAUAUUAGUAAUGACUUCUCUCUCUCUCUCUCUUUGUUCCUGAAUAACAUCUGAAUAACUUGGUAACUGCAUAAAUAAACUUCCGAGCAACAGAGCAAAAGGGCAUGGUGAAAUUGAUCAUCCAAUAUUAUUUAUAAUGAAAGAUAACGAUAUAGGGUCGUAUGGAAAUCUUCAACAACUUUACUGUGCCUUGCCUUUAGCAUCAUAUUAUAAGGUACCCGAUGAUUUGAAAACAGCAUAGUAUAAAUGGCGAUCCAUCGAUUGUAAUUAACUCUUACCUUACGUUUUCUUACAAGUUUGAAGUUUCAAUUCCAAGUUUCAAUUUGAUGUUAUAUUCCUUUAGUUGAGGAUUCUUCAGAACCUAAGAUAACUAGAUAUUUUCACUUCGAACAGGAAUAUUUGUUCUAAACCAAAUUGCAAUGGUUAGUAUACCAAUGAGAAAUGUUUAUGAGUGCAGUGGUAAGAAUAAUUUCAUGUGGUGCCACGUGGAAUGUUCCAUUCUACGAAGCGAAAUGAAACAAUCCAAAUGUCACCGAAUGAACUAUUCCAUUGCAUGAAUGUGAAACAUUCAUUAUUUGUUUUAUGCAACACCUGAAUAGAUCCUCGUUGUCUGAUUGGUCAGAGCCAUCUAUAUUUACCCUUAAACAGAACUUCUUUUUUUCGCUUAGCCGUGGGUUGAAACAAGUAAUUCCAUGACGUAUGGUCAACGACCAACCAAUCAGAUGACUGGGAUUCAUUCAGGCAAUGUAUAAAACUGCAAGCAUUUCAUGAGGAUAUUAAUUGUGGAAAUGUUCAUACACAUUUGGAAUGUUUCAAAAGUUUACCCUCCAUAAAAUGAUGUGAAUUCAACAGAAAAAAAGUAAUAUUAAUGCAAGUAGGACAUUAUUUAGUACAAUUUGUUAAAUUUUCCCAUUUCAUUAUCAUUCACAAAGAUCAAAAUUAUAUCUGAUUUGAGCAGCUGACUGACGUAAUAUUAAUGAGUUUGCAUAUGUCAUGUACAAGGAUACAUACUAAUUUCUAACAGUCAUUAUGCAUUUCAAAUGAGCAGUGAACAGA